CUCGUAGGCGGUUUGUUAAGUCGGAUGUGAAAGCCCCGGGCUCAACCUGGGAACUGCAUUCGAUACUGGCAAACUAGAGUAUAGAAGAGGCAAGUGGAAUUCCAGGUGCAGCGGUGAAAUGCGUAGAUAUCUGGAGGAACAUCAGUGGCGAAGGCGACUUGCUGGUCUAAUACUGACGCUGAGGAGCGAAAGCGUGGGGAGCAAACAGGAUUAGAUACCCUGGUAGUCC
rnacentral:rRNA from 1 species